UUUGGAUGCACGAUGGACGGACACAAUAAUCCCCUGUGGGCUGGUGUAACCAGGAGGUUCCUAUCAGUAUAACAAUUCAAAUGGCCAAACCCUGCGGAUAUAUCCGCAUCUGUGUACAUUCCCGUAUGUUUGACAUUUUAAAUUGGGCCUAUCCGCACAUUCUUCCUGCCAACCUUCAUAAAGGUUAAUACUUGAUUAUUGAAAAAAUAUAUAUUUUUACAUGGUGCAGCACCCGCCCAAUCAUAUAUAUAUAUGUGGGCACACACAUACACCGUGUGACUGUCCACUGACUUCGUUUGAAAAUCGAUAAUCACGCAUGGUCAGAGAUUUUCAGCUCUUUUCUCAACAAUUUUCAAAGUCGGUGGAGCAGCAUGGACAUUACCCUGAUUCAUGUUCUGGCGGCUGUCAUCUGGCUCGCUAUGAGCGUCGAAGGACGGCUUAGCUGCACCAUUGGAAGUCUUGAUUUGGGGAUUCCUGAAUCAACAUUUACCACGUGUGCAGCAGGGCAAGACUCGUGCGUGACGAUGGAAUUGACUCAGAGUAAGUGCUUCCAGGUCAAGGCUGCUGUAUAUUUGGUGGAUGCAUCUAUCUCUCUCUAACCUGGGUAUGUUAUCUCCCUCGAC